AGCCAAGGUGUCUUGCUUGAGUCCAUUCUGUAGGCCAGAUUCAACCCCUUGUUUCCAGGCACUGCCACUGUCAAGGUAAUCCUGAGGAAUGAGGAAAGACAUUUAUUAAAAGCCAGUCUUGACAUGUUUAAAACCAACUUAAGGGACAGUGUGUAACUACUGCUCUUUUAUGAAGGAUGACCAAGAUAGGUUUGUAUUCAUUUCUACUUCCCAAAACAUCCUCACAAUUCUUUCAUAAUCCUAACAUUGGAGCUCAGAACACACAAAAGCAUGUCCUGCCUCCUCCUGAAGAGGGUUGUUAUUGCCUAGCUCUUCUGCUGUUCCUCAUCUUGCUCUCCAUUGUCAGUCAGUGCAAUUCACUUAGAGCUCAAGCUGAGCAUCAUGAUUUUUGACUGGUGAGAAGGCAAGUCUUAUGGGUCUCUAGUUUGUCAAACAGAAAUGUACUUCUUGGGUAAAAGGGCCUAAGGAAAUUAGGCAUAGUUGAUGUUUCUUUGACUGUAACUUUCCACUAUUUACACAAGGUAUGAUUUGAAUGUGAAGUGCUGCUCUCAGUUUCACAUCAGCUGAUGAUGCUGUUGGGAGGAUUGUGACUCUUUAAGAAGUGGAGCCCAUCUAGAUCACUCCUGGCUUUUCCUUGGGGCUAUAUCUUGCUCUGACCUCCACAAGCAUUCACUUCCCUUCUGUUUCAUCCCCACCAGGAUUUCGACAGUCUUCUCCUUCUCAUGCUCGAACUAAUCUGUUAAUCUGUCCAAGUGCAUGGGAUUAAGCAAUCAUGGAUGAACCAUUUGAAACUGCAAGCCAAAACCACACCAAAACACAACAAACAACAAUAAAAACCCACAACUCCUCCUUUGAGACUUUCUGCCAGGAAUUUUGGCAGUAUUGACUUGAAGGCUGUUACUUUUGACCAGCUUGCAAACAAGCUUGAGAAGUGAAUCCAUAGAACUGGGAAGACUGCAGAAAGAGAUGUGGUUUCCAUUGCUGGCCUGCCAGGGUCCGUGUUAUAUGGACAGUGUGGCACACACUUGAGCCAAUUAAGUCAGUUGGACCAGAAUACUCAGCUGAACAAGGACAGAAGGAUGAGUCCAGCUAUCUUAACUCUUCACUAUAGAUAACAAUUUAUUUCCAUCAGUCACUAGGGGUGUCUUGCCUCCUCUGGAACCUGCCACACCUUAAUUGCAAAUGAGCUGAAAAUGGAUGAUUUUUUUUUAACCUACUGAUCACAGUGAAAAAGAAAAAAACAAAGACUCAUAAGACACUGGAAGGAAUGUGAGAAUACAUGUUCUCUGAACUGAGAAAAUAAACCCAUGACAAAUCAUACUAUUA